rnacentral:rRNA from 1 species
GGGGAAUUGUUCGCAAUGGGCGCAAGCCUGACGACGCAACGCCGCGUGGAGGACGAAGAUCUUCGGGUCGUAAACUCCUUUCGAUCGGGAAGAACGUUUUCGGGGUGAAUAAUCCCGAGAAGUGACGGUACCGAGAGAAGAAGCCCCGGCUAACUACGUGCCAGCAGCCGCGGUAAUACGUAGGGUGCAAGCGUUAAUCGGAAUUACUGGGCGUAAAGCGUGCGCAGGCGGUUUCGUAAGUCUGUCGUGAAAUCCCCGGGCUUAACCUGGGAAUGGCGAUGGAGACUGCGAGGCUAGAGUUUGGCAGAGGGGGGUAGAAUUCCACGUGUAGCAGUGAAAUGCGUAGAGAUGUGGAGGAACACCGAUGGCGAAGGCAGCCCCCUGGGUCAAAACUGACGCUCAUGCACGAAAGCGUGGGGAGCAAAC